CUGGAGGGUGUGUGUGUGUGUGUGUGUGUGUGCGCGCGCACACUCACGCACAUGCACACACGCAC
rnacentral:miRNA from 1 species